rnacentral:rRNA from 1 species
UUAAGCGACUAAGCGUACACGGUGGAUGCCCUGGCAGUCAGAGGCGAUGAAGGACGUGCUAAUCUGCGAUAAGCGUCGGUAAGGUGAUAUGAACCGUUAUAACCGGCGAUUUCCGAAUGGGGAAACCCAGUGUGUUUCGACACACUAUCAUUAACUGAAUCCAUAGGUUAAUGAGGCGAACCGGGGGAACUGAAACAUCUAAGUACCCCGAGGAAAAGAAAUCAACCGAGAUUCCCCCAGUAGCGGCGAGCGAACGGGGAGCAGCCCAGAGCCUGAAUCAGUGUGUGUGUUAGUGGAAGCGUCUGGAAAGGCGCGCGAUACAGGGUGACAGCCCCGUACACAAAAAUGCACAUAUUGUGAGCUCGAUGAGUAGGGCGGGACACGUGGUAUCCUGUCUGAAUAUGGGGGGACCAUCCUCCAAGGCUAAAUACUCCUGACUGACCGAUAGUGAACCAGUACCGUGAGGGAAAGGCGAAAAGAACCCCGGCGAGGGGAGUGAAAAAGAACCUGAAACCGUGUACGUACAAGCAGUGGGAGCACGCUUAGGCGUGUGACUGCGUACCUUUUGUAUAAUGGGUCAGCGACUUAUAUUCUGUAGCAAGGUUAACCGAAUAGGGGAGCCGAAGGGAAACCGAGUCUUAACUGGGCGUUAAGUUGCAGGGUAUAGACCCGAAACCCGGUGAUCUAGCCAUGGGCAGGUUGAAGGUUGGGUAACACUAACUGGAGGACCGAACCGACUAAUGUUGAAAAAUUAGCGGAUGACUUGUGGCUGGGGGUGAAAGGCCAAUCAAACCGGGAGAUAGCUGGUUCUCCCCGAAAGCUAUUUAGGUAGCGCCUCGUGAAUUCAUCUCCGGGGGUAGAGCACUGUUUCGGCAAGGGGGUCAUCCCGACUUACCAACCCGAUGCAAACUGCGAAUACCGGAGAAUGUUAUCACGGGAGACACACGGCGGGUGCUAACGUCCGUCGUGAAGAGGGAAACAACCCAGACCGCCAGCUAAGGUCCCAAAGUCAUGGUUAAGUGGGAAACGAUGUGGGAAGGCCCAGACAGCCAGGAUGUUGGCUUAGAAGCAGCCAUCAUUUAAAGAAAGCGUAAUAGCUCACUGGUCGAGUCGGCCUGCGCGGAAGAUGUAACGGGGCUAAACCAUGCACCGAAGCUGCGGCAGCGACGCUGAUGCGUUGUUGGGUAGGGGAGCGUUCUGUAAGCCUGUGAAGGUGUGCUGUGAGGCAUGCUGGAGGUAUCAGAAGUGCGAAUGCUGACAUAAGUAACGAUAAAGCGGGUGAAAAGCCCGCUCGCCGGAAGACCAAGGGUUCCUGUCCAACGUUAAUCGGGGCAGGGUGAGUCGACCCCUAAGGCGAGGCCGAAAGGCGUAGUCGAUGGGAAACAGGUUAAUAUUCCUGUACUUGGUGUUACUGCGAAGGGGGGACGGAGAAGGCUAUGUUGGCCGGGCGACGGUUGUCCCGGUUUAAGCGUGUAGGCUGGUUUUCCAGGCAAAUCCGGAAAAUCAAGGCUGAGGCGUGAUGACGAGGCACUACGGUGCUGAAGCAACAAAUGCCCUGCUUCCAGGAAAAGCCUCUAAGCAUCAGGUAACAUCAAAUCGUACCCCAAACCGACACAGGUGGUCAGGUAGAGAAUACCAAGGCGCUUGAGAGAACUCGGGUGAAGGAACUAGGCAAAAUGGUGCCGUAACUUCGGGAGAAGGCACGCUGAUAUGUAGGUGAAGCGACUUGCUCGUGGAGCUGAAAUCAGUCGAAGAUACCAGCUGGCUGCAACUGUUUAUUAAAAACACAGCACUGUGCAAACACGAAAGUGGACGUAUACGGUGUGACGCCUGCCCGGUGCCGGAAGGUUAAUUGAUGGGGUUAGCGCAAGCGAAGCUCUUGAUCGAAGCCCCGGUAAACGGCGGCCGUAACUAUAACGGUCCUAAGGUAGCGAAAUUCCUUGUCGGGUAAGUUCCGACCUGCACGAAUGGCGUAAUGAUGGCCAGGCUGUCUCCACCCGAGACUCAGUGAAAUUGAACUCGCUGUGAAGAUGCAGUGUACCCGCGGCAAGACGGAAAGACCCCGUGAACCUUUACUAUAGCUUGACACUGAACAUUGAGCCUUGAUGUGUAGGAUAGGUGGGAGGCUUAGAAGUGUGGACGCCAGUCUGCAUGGAGCCGACCUUGAAAUACCACCCUUUAAUGUUUGAUGUUCUAACGUUGACCCGUAAUCCGGGGUGCGGACAGUGUCUGGUGGGUAGUUUGACUGGGGCGGUCUCCUCCUAAAGAGUAACGGAGGAGCACGAAGGUUGGCUAAUCCUGGUCGGACAUCAGGAGGUUAGUGCAAUGGCAUAAGCCAGCUUGACUGCGAGCGUGACGGCGCGAGCAGGUGCGAAAGCAGGUCAUAGUGAUCCGGUGGUUCUGAAUGGAAGGGCCAUCGCUCAACGGAUAAAAGGUACUCCGGGGAUAACAGGCUGAUACCGCCCAAGAGUUCAUAUCGACGGCGGUGUUUGGCACCUCGAUGUCGGCUCAUCACAUCCUGGGGCUGAAGUAGGUCCCAAGGGUAUGGCUGUUCGCCAUUUAAAGUGGUACGCGAGCUGGGUUUAGAACGUCGUGAGACAGUUCGGUCCCUAUCUGCCGUGGGCGCUGGAGAACUGAGGGGGGCUGCUCCUAGUACGAGAGGACCGGAGUGGACGCAUCACUGGUGUUCGGGUUGUCAUGCCAAUGGCACUGCCCGGUAGCUAAAUGCGGAAGAGAUAAGUGCUGAAAGCAUCUAAGCACGAAACUUGCCCCGAGAUGAGUUCUCCCUGACUCCUUGAGAGUCCUGAAGGAACGUUGAAGACGACGACGUUGAUAGGCCGGGUGUGUAAGCGCAGCGAUGCGUUGAGCUAACCGGUACUAAUGAACCGUGAGGCUUAACCUU